UACGUAGGGUGCAAGCGUUAAUCGGAAUUACUGGGCGUAAAGCGUGCGCAGGCGGUUUUGUAAGUCUGUCGUGAAAUCCCCCGGGCUCAACCUGGGAAUUGCGAUGGAGACUGCAAGGCUAGAAUCUGGCAGAGGGGGGGGUAGAAUUCCACGUGUAGCAGUGAAAUGCGUAGAGAUGUGGAGGAACACCGAUGGCGAAGGCAGCCCCCCUGGGUCAAGAUUGACGCUCAUGCACGAA
rnacentral:rRNA from 1 species